ACGGGUGUAGUUCAAGGGUAGAAUGUCGGUCUCCAAAACCGCUGAUGGGAGUUCGAAUCUCUCCACCCGUGCAC
rnacentral:tRNA from 1 species